GACGAACGCUGGCGGCGUGCCUAAUACAUGCAAGUCGAACGCAGUUGCGAACGGGUGAGUACCGCGUAGGUAACUGCCUCAUAGCGGGGGAUCACUAUUGGAAACGAUAGCUAAUACCGCAUCCUUUGAUCUGGACCUGCGUUGUGUUAGGUAGUUGGUUAGGUAAAGGCUCACCCAGGCGACGAUACAUAGCCGACCUGAGAGGGGGAACGGCCACAAUUGGAACGGGGAACGGCCCCGACGCCUACGGGGGGCAGCAGUAGGGGAUCUUUGGAAAUGGACGGAAGGCUGAACGAGCAACGGCGCGGGAGUGAAGAAGGUUUUCGGAACGGAAAGCGCUGUUAAUAGAGAAGCGGUACCUAAACAGAAAGGGACGGCUAACUACGUGCCAGCAGCCGCGGUAAUUC
rnacentral:rRNA from 1 species